rfam:Gaeumannomyces graminis var. tritici R3-111a-1 unplaced genomic scaffold supercont2.10, whole genome shotgun sequence.
CCUCCUGAUGAUCACAACCAUUCAUAUUAUUCUGGUACCUCUUAUGUUAGGGCUCCUUUCGGGGCUCGAUGAAUUCAACGGACUUCUGAUU